UAUUGUAUUCCAAUAUUCAUGACUUCGGUUAUCUUGAUGCAAGAAUUUAUGGUGAAAAUCUGUUCCAAGUUGGGAGUUUUAGGAAAGGCCAACCCCCAAAGAAUCAGUCUGAAGAGAUUUACUAAUGCAUGAAUUUAUGAUGAUCUGUUCCAAGUUGGGAUUUCUAAAAUCUGGAAACUAGGGGCUGGGGAAUAAUUCGGGAAAAAUCAGUCUGAAGAAAUUUCUGCAUCACAUUUGUCUGGACAUGGUUCUAAUUUUUCAAGAAAUUGGUUUUAGAAGAAGUGUGCUUAAUCAGUUGAGUUGGGUUCGGCUUGGUGCUGCUUUUUACCAUUGGAAUUGAGGAAUAAUUUAGUUUCUCUCUCCUUGAAGAGUUCUUGGUGAGUUGAACCUAUUAAUGGAAAUUCCUUGGAAAAAUUUCUCAUUUAUUAGUCUCCAUGCAUGAAGAGUUGUUAGUUUCGAAACAUUUGAUGUAUUGCCGGUGAGGUUCUUGAAAGUUAAAGCAGUUGAUUCAAAUUUGUUGGAAUAGGCCGUGGUGGUUAAGAGUAAUUUUUUUUCUCUUUUACUAGAGAAGAAACAAUUUCAUCGACGAAUCCUUGCAAGCCAAAAGUUGAACCCUUCUCAGAGAAAGUUGGGUGAAAGAGGAAUGCCUCGACCAUCAAGCUAACAUCGUUUGGUCAAGCAACUUGAAAACUGAAGACAUCAAAGAAGCCAUCCCAAAUCGACCUAGUAAAAACCCAACUCCCUAAAUGGUAGUUAAAAUACUCCAUUGCACUCCUAUAAAGGAUGUGAUGCUACCGAUUCAUCAAACCAAACCAUAUCCUUGGAACACUAUGUAAAGUGUUAAUUAUUUUAUGAAGGACUCGUCAAGUAAAAAACUUUACUCUUUGAGAAUUUAACCUUCCACAACAACUAAAAGACCCGAUGAUUGUAAGGAAGGGGUCCACCAAACACCCAAAAAGUAUUUACAAGAAAAAGCUUUUGAACUGCUAGGACCCCAAAGACAAAAAAUCCCCUUUCCAAGGUUAAUAGAACCCUAAAACAAGAACAAAAGGCCAACAAUGUUUGUCCUUUGCUUUCUGUCAAUGGACAACAAAGCCUAAGAUCAAGCUGAAGAUGACUCUCAGAGCAAGAAGGUACGGAGGCCACCAAGUGAUUCCUCAUGGAGGAAAAAUGGUAUAAAGGAGGGAACAAGGAGUAAAAGAGUUUAUCACCCAACUACUUAUCUUCCCAAAAGUAGGUAUCCCUCCUGUCACCGAUCUCACCCUAAAUAAAUGAAGGGAACAAGGAAACCAUCAGAGAGCUUUCCACGAGUUUUUGGAAGUGCCUUUGAAGUCCCCAUUUUUAAACUUGUUUCUGGAAUUUGGAAUUUGGCUAAGAAAGAAUUCACUCUUGUUCUUUCUCAAUUCAACUAUCUUAAAGAUGCAAAUCAUUGUAAGAAAUUGGGAGGAAAUAGACGUUUUCAAAAACCAAAAACAAAAAGUGUAAUAAUUACAAAACAAAACCUAAAUCAUUUGAUGGAG